rnacentral:lncRNA from 1 species
CAAUUAAAUUCUUAUUUUAAUAUUUUUGAAAUUGGUAGUUCACUUCAAUUUAUCAAGUAAAAGAUGUAUUUACAGAAUAAAUAACAAUGUUUUCCAAUUUCAAUACUGAACAUCCCAUAAUCAUCUCAGAACCCGGUGUCACAAGUGCAUGAGCCUUUUCUAGGAAUUUAAAAUAAAAUACAGUAACUGUCCGGAAUACAAAUUUGGACAGGAAGGAAAGUACAAUACUCUGAAGGAGACUCUGCUGGAUGCGGAGCGUCGUAUAGAAUGCAGCUCCCCUAAGUCCCCGCCAUAAUCGCACUUCUGCUCCCACAAGGCCGCUAAACAUAUAUGUACCUGCACAAAAAUGUGCAGCAAGUGUAGUAUGAGUACAUAAAUCAACGUGUACCCAGUAAGUAUCUCGCCUAACCCCGAAGAAGUAGUGACGAGGAGUCGACUUCGACACUUACUAUGGGCUAUAAAUAAAUGGAAUAAUAUCAUUAAAUUAUACAUGGAUUAAUUAAUACGGUUGCAAGCCAAUUAUUCUGAAGUAAGUAAAUAGUUCUUUCAUAAUUAAGGAAUCUCAAAAUUUUAUCUCCCACUAUUUAACGAUUAUAUCUCCGGCCAAUGAGGCAAUAUCCAAUUAUCAGUUUAUCUCAGACCAGGGAGGAAAUAUCGUUAUUUAUAAAUUUCAAGGCAAGCAAUACAAGGAUCCGUAAGUCAUGUUGAGGUCGUACGACCCGAUCCAAUAAUUAUUUAAAUUGCGCAAUUCCAGAGGGUUGAAUGGCGCGAACCAUAGAUGCAUCUAUUUAAUCUACCGAGGCCCGUUCCACAAAAGAUAACACAUUCAAAUAAUCAAUCAAGAAUUCAUCAAGGGGCAAUUAUCCAAGGAAAAAGGCAAAUUUCUCUUCUAAAAGUCAAGAAAAUGAUGUCUAGCCUUUUAAAAAUUUAUUAACAUAGUUUGAUAUGAUUUAAGCAUUUUAAAUUGACAACAGAUUUCAAAUAUUACAAGUAAAGCAUGCUUUUGGGUCCUAGACUACCCGAACUUAGGCAUAAUUGUAGCUACGCACGGACUCUCAUCACCUCGUGCGUACAUAGCCCCCACAAAUAGGAGCACACAGUGAUUUAUUUCACUUAUGGGAUAAAUUCCCUCUUACAAGGUUAGAAAGGAGACUUACCUUGCUCCGCAAUUUCAUAACCGGCUCCAAGGUCGCUCCGACAAUUUCAACUGAUGCUCGUCGCUCCAAAACUAGUCAAAUAUGAUGCAACCGAAUCAAAAUAUACUCUAAUACUCUUAAUUAAUCAUUUUAUAAACAUUUCCAACUCCG